AGCAGCGUGGCGCAGUGGAAGCGUGCUGGGCCCAUAACCCAGAGGUCGGUGGAUCGAAAUCACUCGCUGCUA
rfam:Angiostrongylus cantonensis strain Taiwan genome assembly, scaffold: ACAC_contig0007293